UACACUUCUACUGGGGAACGAGUCUCACCGUACUCCAAUCAUGGGAUUCUUGGGAGGGUCACAGGAAUGGGCUUAUUACCAGAGCAUGGACAAUAGAAAACCAUGGACAAUAGAAAACUCCUGACUACAGUGAAUAGAUCAGGGAAAAUCUUAAGAUUGCCACCAGGAUCCAACAUCCCAUGGACUUUGGAGUCAGUUGGAGCUGGGUUUGAAUCCCAUGUCUACAUUUACUACAUAUGUAACCCGCUGCUUCUCUGCAGAUUCACCAUGCUGUUCCUGUGGGAGAGCCAUCCACAUGUGUGUGCCUGUUCCCCUUCUUCGCCUCCCACUCUGGGAGCAGAGAGCCAGGAGGUCGCCGCUAAUCCGCCAUUUUUUUUCUCUCUCAGAGAAGUGUUAUUCUCUGAAAAGAAGAGGUAAGAACAUACGGUCUCCUACUCCAGGCCAGAGCUUGGGCACAACAGCUUCUUCCCCAGAGGGACUGAGCAUUCUAGGAGAAGCUGCUGGAUUGAUCAUCUCCAAGACAAGUUCACAAACGUUCACAUUUGUGUGUGUCUGCCCCCAGUGCAUCUUUUCCCUCUGCUCCUUUGCUCACUUCUCUUCUGAAAAAGUGGCAGGUAUCAUUGUUUUGAUAGUCUGGAUGGGGUGGCCCCAUUUUUCAAUUUCCUGACAACAUCUUCCUUGAAGAGACUCUCCCUGCCUGCUGUCUUUUGUCGUCUGCCGCUGUCUGCAUCCUGCUCAAGGACAGCCUCAGAGGGGGAGAUUGGCCUCAUGCUAGCAAAAUUAGCUGCUGCAGGACCAGAUUUCAUUUUCACCCACUACAAAUCCCAGGAAAGAGAGAGCAUCUUUUCCCCAAUGUUCCAAGGAAAUGCUUUGAGAUUCACUCCAUUUGGACCACUUUGGGUCACCUGCCAACCCUGGAACCAAUCACUGAGGCCAGAGGGAUGGAAUACACUGAUUGGCUUCUCCCAGGUCACAUGUCCUAUGCCCACAGCCAGGUAUGGUGCCAUCUUUUCCAGAACAACAUGAGUCCUCAGAUGGGAUUUGAUGCUGUUAGGCGGGAGUGAGGUGAGGGGGAGAAUAGCUGCUGGAAAGCUCGGACACAUGAUGGAUGCCUACUCCACCCAUGAGUGACAGGCAGCACUGGUAGAGACCAUGCUGAUUCAUGAACUGUUAUUUGUCACAACAAGAUAAGAACAGAAAUUGAGGGUAUUUAGAAAUGUUUAGGGAAGUUUAACAUAUGUGUAACAUCCAAGUGUGUGAUGAGUGGACUCAUCUUGUUGAAUAGGGUAUAUAGAUCACAAGCAUUGGUUUAUGACAGAUUUGAAAAAAGAAUUGGUCUUUCUUGAUAAGUAAUUUGAGAAGUACAGCCUUAAACUCUGUGCCUUGCAGGUUGUCUGCUGUUAGAAGAUUGGUUUCAUGUUCAGCUGGAAUAGGGAUAAGGUGUGUCGGAUUGGAAGGAGUGCUGAGAAUAGUAAAAGAAUAGCUGCAUUGGUUUACAAGUUGAAAUCAUCAUAGCCCACCUAUCCAGGCUUUCUGUACAGUGUAAUGAUUAAAAGUGAAGUCUUUGGAAUAAGACUCAGGUUCAAAUCUCACUUCUAACAUUUUCUAGCUAUACCAUCUUGGGUAAAGUACUAGGAAUAUUUGAACCUCAGUUUCCUCCUCUGUAAAGUGGGCUAGCACUCAGGUUGCUAUAAAGCGCCCGAUUAAUGGUAGCUCUUUCAACAGAGCUCUUCCACCUCCCUGAGCUGUAAGUAGAGGUAAGAGAGAAGGUAUCACUCCUGUUUUAUGAUUAAGAAAUGGAGGUACUGAGGGGCUGUUUCUUCCUAAGAAUUUAUGCUCCAUUCAGUUUUAUCUUAGAGUUUUGUGAUUGGGCUAUAGAUAGAAAGUCUGAACUAAAAUUUUUUAGAUUUAUGCCCUAGAACUGGGUACAUUGGGAAAUUUGGGUGUAAAUUGGCCUGAUGUCAAGAUGCUAUGAGUGUCCUGAUUCAUCUGGAGCUGUUUCCAAACACUAAUAGGUAGUUUCUACAGAUUACAGGAUACCAAGAACCUACAACAAGAAGAAAAUAUCAAGUAAUUGGGAAUGAUUUGGUGUAAAGUUUCCAUUCGCAGGCUUCUUGUCUCUUUUGAUAAUGUCUUUACUACUUGUUAUGGGAUGUGGGUUUUUCUAGUGGCAAAAGAGGUAAAGGGGAUUGUGAAGGUGGCAUUGUAGCUUCACAAAACUUGGUUUACGUUUCCUCCUGUGAGUAUAGCUUUAAAUGUCUCAUUGCCUGUUGUCAUGAUACCAGAGGUUUUUCUGAGAACAAUGGAGUUUCCUAAGGUUCUGCUAGCAAGAUUGUCCUUUGUCCUCAUUCCUCACAAAUCCAGUGAGGAUAAGUCAUUUUCCUGCUAAAACUAUUAUUUCUUUGGGACUAAUAUUCCAAAGAAUGUUCAAUGAAUUGGGCCUAAAAUCAUCAGAGGGAGCAUUAAGAGGAAGACUAAGAGCUACCUAUGGAACCAGAGGUAACUGGAGACUGACAAUCACCACAAUCUUGAGUUCCCACCAGAGAUACCCCUCCCAUGAGCAAAGGCAAGCGGUCAAAAAGGGCUUUGCAUUUUCAGAUGAAGUGAUCUUAUGUCAAGGAUUUACUUUAAAAUACUCCAUAGCAGGCAUCCUCAAACUACAGCCCGC